CACUUAUAGACUGAUUGUCAAGUUAUAAAAGAUCACUCUCAGUAAUUAGCGUCCACAAAAGAGAUGAUGUGUGAUAAACUAGACGAAUGCGAGAAUUUGGUAUAAUUUUCCCAAUUUUAAGCCAUCACUCUUGGUAUAAGCAAUCCUUAGAUAACAUCGAAAACUACGAUUCAAAGCCAUACUUGGAUAAAUAUUCCGACGUUAUGCUGCAUCCUGUUUAUGAUUAGUCCAUAUUCCUUCGGCUUGUAUCACAUGACAGAAGAUGUUGACAUGAUUUGUUAUUCAGUUUGGUAUAAGAGCGUUUAUCUUGUUGUGUGUUGUGACUAUCAACCUAUAGGCGACCUCUGGCUAAGAAAAAAGGGUAUUACGCCGAAUAGGUUGUAUUGAUGCGAGCACGACACACGGGUGUGGGAUUACCUCUAUUAAGCCCUUAUCCUGAUGUCACUCAGGAUUAAAUAAUAUUUGAAUUUUCAUGGCAACUUGUUGCGAACGCUACACUGGAUUAUCCACAUACCGCAUACACGAAAAUGUUUCACCUGGCUGUGUAGCACUGUUUACUUGCACUUAAGCGCUCAGCAUGACGCUUAACGUUGGGAAGGCUUUAUUGCUGUAAGCAUUCCACUGGAUUUGUGACACACCAUGUACCUGUACUUAAACCUUCAACCCGGUUGAUCACUGAUGGCUUUAAAAGAAAAAUUAACCCAAAAAUUAUUUUUUGAUAUUUGAUCCAACUUAACCAUAAAAUCAAGAAAAAAUAUGACUUUAUUCCUAAAUAUUGUGUUUUUUUCGUAACCCAGCUGCUGUUUUACCUCAAAGAAUUGCCUUUUUUUUACGAAACGCCUUUUGUACCGAUGAUCUGGGACUAAACGACAAAAAUGACGUAAAAGUUUUAAAAACAAGAAUUCGAAGCUCGCGUUUAGGUGAAAGAAUGGUACUCGAAUAAGUUUCAGCUGUCAUAUUUAUAAUUCUUUCUUUUUGCGUGUGAUUCACAUUUUUAAUCUAACCCAAACAUCUUCCUUCUUUUUUCCCCUAUGUACCCAAAAUACGAUCAAACAGCCGGUUAUGUUAAAAGAUUUUUCCCACAGCUAGAAUAUUAUACACAAGAACCACAAAGACAUUCACAAGAAAUAGAAUCCAUUUAACACUGAAACAAGAAUUACACAUUUUCCUUACCACGCACACUUAUCACUAUUACAAUAAGCUACGUACAACUUCACUGUUUCUUAUAAUAAAGAGUGUAUUUAACUUUUUUAGAUUUAAUUCGGAGGCACAUAAAGUUUGUUGCUAAGACACACAUUGAUUUAGACACAUACCGUAUUGAUCCGAAUAAGCGCCCUGGGCGCUUAUUAAAUUUUUGGAUUUUUUGCAUGGGCGCUUAAUCGAGUAGGGCGCUUAAAAAACACUGGGCGCUUAUAAAUCUUUCCUAAUUUUGUACAAAUUAAAGACAACGGUAAUUUUCAGUUAAAACAUAGAAAGAAAGGACUGUAUAGGAAAUUAGGCGCCCACUCUAUGUAACAUAGAAUAGAUGUUCAGACCAUAAAAUAUAUGUUUUUUUAUUCUCAAUAUAAGAAAGAAAAAUUUCAAAUAAGCGUCCAGUUUCUCAAGGCAGCUUUCGAUUAAGCACCCCCUUUUAUCAGGAAAUCGCUUAUUCGAGGGGAGCGCUUAAUAAGUGCUGGGUGCUUAUUGAACUUUGAGGAAAUUACCUGGGCGCUUAAAAAUUCUGGGUGCUUAAUCGGAUUAUUACGGUAUAUAACUUAUAUUUAACUCAUGUUGUAGGAAGAUACAGGUCAGAAACAUCGAUUCAGAGUGUGCUAGAUAUUGUAAAAUUUUUUAUGUAUAUUAGCUUAUAUUGAGUUCAUCUUCAAUUGAUUGAUUAAAACGAUAAAUAAAUACAUAGGCAGUUACAUUAUAAUCAUGGUAACCAACUGAUAACAUCGACAUUAAAAUACAUGUU